GCCUGGGUGGCUCAGUCAGUUGAGCGUCUGACUUUGGCUCAGGUCAUGAUCUCAUGGGUUGUGGGUUCAGGCCCCAUACCGGACU
rnacentral:tRNA from 1 species